UGUUAAAUCUAUAUUUAUUUUCAUUAUUAAAAACUAGCGUGCUCGACAGAAAAGUAAAUAGUUAUAACUAGAGUGUUAUGUAUACUUUAUAGUGAUGUACAACUAUCAAUUUUUAACAGUGAAAGUUGAUGAAAUUUUGAAUA
rnacentral:pre_miRNA from 1 species